rnacentral:rRNA from 1 species
ACAGCAGUCGCCGCGGUAAUACGUAGGUCCCGAGCGUUGUCCGGAUUUAUUGGGCGUAAAGCGAGCGCAGGCGGUUAGAUAAGUCUGAAGUUAAAGGCUGUGGCUUAACCAUAGUACGCUUUGGAAACUGUUUAACUUGAGUGCAAGAGGGGAGAGUGGAAUUCCAUGUGUAGCGGUGAAAUGCGUAGAUAUAUGGAGGAACACCGGUGGCGAAAGCGGCUCUCUGGCUUGUAACUGACGCUGAGGCUCGAAAGCGUGGGGAGCAAACAGGAUUAGAUACCCCAGUAGUCCCUGUCUCUAAUACA